GAUGAACGCUCGCUACAGGCUUAACACAUGCAAGCCGAGGGGAAACGACAUCGAAAGCUUGCUUUUGAUGGGCGUCGACCGGCGCACGGGUGAGUAACGCGUAUCCAACCUGCCCAUCACUUGGGGAUAACCUUGCGAAAGUAAGACUAAUACCCAAUGAUAUCUCUAGAAGACAUCUGAAAGAGAUUAAAGAUUUAUCGGUGAUGGAUGGGGAUGCGUCUGAUUAGCUUGUUGGCGGGGUAACGGCCCACCAAGGCAACGAUCAGUAGGGGUUCUGAGAGGAAGGUCCCCCACAUUGGAACUGAGACACGGUCCAAACUCCUACGGGAGGCAGCAGUGAGGAAUAUUGGUCAAUGGGCGAGAGCCUGAACCAGCCAAGUAGCGUGCAGGAAGACGGCCCUAUGGGUUGUAAACUGCUUUUAUAAGGGAAUAAAGUGAGAGUCGUGACUCUUUUUGUAUGUACCUUAUGAAUAAGGACCGGCUAAUUCCGUG
rnacentral:rRNA from 1 species